rnacentral:lncRNA from 1 species
CUCAAGAGCCUGCUCCCUCCCCCCAACUGGAAAAGAAGACAUCCAUUUUCUAAUGGGCUCACAGCUGUCUCCAGCCUCCGGAAAGGCAUCCCCGGAGCAGUCGGUGUGAAGUGGGUAGUUAAUUCCAGGCCUUCCUGCCUUGAAGUGUCCCUGGGACUGGGGGCUUCACUGCAUUCCCUUCACACCUGGCCUAUAUGGGGGAAGGCUGCCCAGAAGAGGCUUUGAGAAACAGCCAGGUUGGUGGGAGGGGACUCUGACAAGGCUGGCUGCUGCUGUUGCUGCUGAUGAAGAUUUCACAUCAAGUCCCAACACUGUGCUCCAGCCCUGGAUGCAGCUAGGCUCAGCUGUUUUGGUCACCAAUGCACUAGUGAAAGGGAAGAAUGCUUUAUCAUGUGAAAUAAAGGAAACACCUUGGUGCAAAGUGGAAAGAAGGAUAUGGCUCUGGAAGAGAAGACCUGGGUUUCAAUCCAGGUUCUGACGUUUACUACCGAUGUGACUGAGCAAGUCCCCUUCGUCUCUUUUGUUCUCAGUUUCCUUAUCUAUAAAAUGAGGGGGUGGGUAGUAUUCUUCAUCUUUGACCCUCUAGAAUCAUGUUUGGUCAUUGGAUUGAUUUGAGUUCUGAAGUCAUGCAAAGUUGUUUUGUCUUUAUAAUGUUGUUAUUGUAUAAAUGGUCCUCCUGGUUCUGCUCACUUCGCUCUGCAUCAGUUCAUACAAAACUUCUCAGGUUUCUCUGAAACCAUCCCCUUUUGUCAUUUCUUUUGGCAAUGACAGAAGUGAUGGACUCAAGAUGUGGACAUCCAAGGACAUGGCUAAUAUAGGAUUAGUUUUUC